rnacentral:rRNA from 1 species
AACGAACGCUGGCGGCAUGCCUAACACAUGCAAGUCGAACGAGACCUUCGGGUCUAGUGGCGCACGGGUGCGUAACGCGUGGGAACCUGCCCUUAGGUUCGGAAUAACUCCCCGAAAGGGGUGCUAAUACCGGAUAAUGUCUUCGGCCCAAAGAUUUAUCGCCUUUGGAUGGGCCCGCGUUGGAUUAGCUAGUUGGUAGGGUAAAAGCCUACCAAGGCGACGUUCCAUAGCUGGUCUGAGGGGAUGAUCAGCAACACUGGGACUGAGACACGGCCCAGACUCCUACGGGAGGCAGCAGGGGGGAAUAUUGGACAAUGGGCGAAAGCCUGAUCCAGCAAUGCCGCGUGAGUGAUGAAGGCCUUAGGGUUGUAAAGCUCUUUUACCCGGGAUGAUAAUGACAGUACCGGGAGAAUAAGCGCCGGCUAACUCCGUG